rnacentral:rRNA from 1 species
CCUACGGGUGGCUGCAGUGAGGAAUAUUGGUCAAUGGGCGCGAGCCUGAACCAGCCACGUAGCGUGAAGGAUGACUGCCCUACGGGUUGUAAACUUCUUUUAUAAGGGAAUAAAGUGCGGCACGUGUGCCUUUUUGUAUGUACUUUAUGUAUAAGGAUCGGCUAACUCCGUGCCAGCAGCAGCGGUAAUACGGAGGAUCCGAUCGUUAUCCGGAUUUAUUGGGUUGAAAGGGAGCGUAGAUGGGUUGUUAAGUCAGUUGUGAAAGUUUGCGGCUCAACCGUAAAAUUGCAAUUGAUACUGGAAGUCUUGAGUACAGGUGAGGUAGGCGGAAUUCGUGGUGUAGCGGUGAAAUGCUUAGAUAUCACGAAGAACUCCGAUUGCGAAGGCAGCUUACUAAACUGCAACUGACAUUGAUGCGCGAAAGUGUGGGUAUCAAACAGGAUUAGAUACCCGGGUAGUC